ensembl:lncRNA
UACACACAGUCACACAGACACACAGUCACACAGACACACAGACACACAGACACACAGGCACACAGGCACACAGGCACACAGUCACACAGGCACACAGACACACAGUCACACAGUCACACAGACACACACACACAGUCACACAGACACACAGGCACACAGACACACACACACAGACACACAGGCACACAGACACACAGGCACACAGACACACAGGCACACAGUCACACAGACACACAGACACACAGACACACAGACACACAGACACACAGCACACAGACACACAGGCACACAGACACACAGGCACACAGGCACACAGACACACAGUCAGUCACACAGACACAGACAGUCUCAGAGAAAUGCAGUCAGACAGUUAGACAGUUAGACAGUCACAUAAACACACAG